AAACUGUCAGGCCACUUCAAGCCACAGUACGGAAGAAGCUGUGCAGCCUGUGAGCCCCGUCCAAGGACGUUAAAAGAAGAAGUCAGGCCCAAAAGCCACGGUUUGAGCAAACCGUGCUGCCUGUAGCUCCGUCGUGGGGACGUAAAACCUGGGAGGCUGCAAACUGUGGAAGCUGUACGCACG
rnacentral:lncRNA from 1 species